GGAGGAGAUAGACGAGAGCGGGACGAGGAUGGAGCAACGAGACGAACGAAGUAUUAGCCGCGGGGUGGAGGAGGAUAGAGGAUCGAGCUGCUACGAACAGGUUGUCCAGGUCAAGGAUCGCGACGACGUCCAGAAAAGAGAAAUCUA